UACAGAGGCCACGAGCGUUAGGCGGAAUCACUGGGCUUAAAGCGUGUGUAGGUGGAUGGGUAAGUACCUUGUGAAAUCCCACGACUCAAUCGUGGAACUGCUUGGUAUACUGCCUGUCUUGAGGCACUUAGGGGCGAGCGGAACAGAUGGUGGAGCGGUGAAAUGCGUAGAUAUCAUCUGGAACGCUAAUGGUGAAGACAGCUCGCUGGGGGUGUUCUGACACUGAGACACGAAAGCUAGGGGAGCAAACGGG
rnacentral:rRNA from 1 species